AGACCCGAAACCCGGUGAUCUAGCCAUGGGCAGGUUGAAGGUUGGGUAACACUAACUGGAGGACCGAACCGACUAAUGUUGAAAAAUUAGCGGAUGACCUGUGGCUGGGGGUGAAAGGCCAAUCAAACCGGGAGAUAGCUGGUUCUCCCCGAAAGCUAUUUAGGUAGCGCCUCGUGAAUUCAUCUCCGGGGGUAGAGCACUGUUUCGGCUAGGGGGCCAUCCCGGCUUACCAACCCGAUGCAAACUGCGAAUACCGGAGAAUGUUAUCACGGGAGACACACGGCGGGUGCUAACGUCCGUCGUGAAGAGGGAAACAACCCAGACCGCCAGCUAAGGUCCCAAAGUCAUGGUUAAGUGGGAAACGAUGUGGGAAGGCCCAGACAGCCAGGAUGUUGGCUUAGAAGCAGCCAUCAUUUAAAGAAAGCGUAAUAGCUCACUGGUCGAGUCGGCCUGCGCGGAAGAUGUAACGGGGCUAAACCAUGCACCGAAGCUGCGGCAGCGAACGUAUCACCCAAGACAACUUUACGGAGUUGACGAUUGACGGAGCGAAGCGACGUCAAAGCGUUCAUUAAAGUCGAGUUGGCUUAGGGAUACGUUCGUUGGGUAGGGGAGCGUUCUGUAAGCCUGUGAAGGUGUGUCGUGAGGCAUGCUGGAGGUAUCAGAAGUGCGAAUGCUGACAUAAGUAACGAUAAAGCGGGUGAAAAGCCCGCUCGCCGGAAGACCAAGGGUUCCUGUCCAACGUUAAUCGGGGCAGGGUGAGUCGACCCCUAAGGCGAGGCCGAAAGGCGUAGUCGAUGGGAAACGGGUUAAUAUUCCCGUACUUGGUGUUACUGCGAAGGGGGGACGGAGAAGGCUAUGUUGGCCGGGCGACGGUUGUCCCGGUUUAAGCGUGUAGGUGUGUGUUCCAGGUAAAUCCGGUUCACUUUAACACUGAGGCGUGACGACGAGGCACUACGGUGCUGAAGCAACAAAUGCCCUGCUUCCAGGAAAAGCCUCUAAGCAUCAGGUAACAUCAAAUCGUACCCCAAACCGACACAGGUGGUCAGGUAGAGAAUACCAAGGCGCUUGAGAGAACUCGGGUGAAGGAACUAGGCAAAAUGGUGCCGUAACUUCGGGAGAAGGCACGCUGACACGUAGGUGAAGUGAUUUACUCAUGGAGCUGAAGUCAGUCGAAGAUACCAGCUGGCUGCAACUGUUUAUUAAAAACACAGCACUGUGCAAACACGAAAGUGGACGUAUACGGUGUGACGCCUGCCCGGUGCCGGAAGGUUAAUUGAUGGGGUCAGCGCAAGCGAAGCUCCUGAUCGAAGCCCCGGUAAACGGCGGCCGUAACUAUAACGGUCCUAAGGUAGCGAAAUUCCUUGUCGGGUAAGUUCCGACCUGCACGAAUGGCGUAAUGAUGGCCAGGCUGUCUCCACCCGAGACUCAGUGAAAUUGAACUCGCUGUGAAGAUGCAGUGUACCCGCGGCAAGACGGAAAGACCCCGUGAACCUUUACUAUAGCUUGACACUGAACAUUGAGCCUUGAUGUGUAGGAUAGGUGGGAGGCUUUGAAGUGUGGACGCCAGUCUGCAUGGAGCCGACCUUGAAAUACCACCCUUUAAUGUUUGAUGUUCUAACGUGGACCCGUAAUCCGGGUUGCGGACAGUGUCUGGUGGGUAGUUUGACUGGGGCGGUCUCCUCCUAAAGAGUAACGGAGGAGCACGAAGGUUGGCUAAUCCUGGUCGGACAUCAGGAGGUUAGUGCAAUGGCAUAAGCCAGCUUGACUGCGAGCGUGACGGCGCGAGCAGGUGCGAAAGCAGGUCAUAGUGAUCCGGUGGUUCUGAAUGGAAGGGCCAUCGCUCAACGGAUAAAAGGUACUCCGGGGAUAACAGGCUGAUACCGCCCAAGAGUUCAUAUCGACGGCGGUGUUUGGCACCUCGAUGUCGGCUCAUCACAUCCUGGGGCUGAAGUAGGUCCCAAGGGUAUGGCUGUUCGCCAUUUAAAGUGGUACGCGAGCUGGGUUUAGAACGUCGUGAGACAGUUCGGUCCCUAUCUGCCGUGGGCGCUGGAGAACUGAGGGGGGCUGCUCCUAGUACGAGAGGACCGGAGUGGACGCAUCACUGGUGUUCGGGUUGUCAUGCCAAUGGCACUGCCCGGUAGCUAAAUGCGGAAGAGAUAAGUGCUGAAAGCAUCUAAGCACGAAACUUGCCCCGAGAUGAGUUCUCCCUGAGACUUAGAGUCUCCUGAAGGAAC
rnacentral:rRNA from 1 species